GGAAGAGAAGAACUACAUUCCCCAGGGGGCUUUGCGGUCAGAGAGGAGAUACAACUCCUGGCAAGGUCACCUAAUCCUCUCUUCUUCAUCUGCGCUUCUUUGUUGGCUCUUCUUCAUCAGCUCUUCUCCUGUCUCCUGGCUGUUCAACUGGACUGCACAUCUUGCCUCAGCAUUGCGAAGUAUGCUGGCCAAACCAUGGCACUGUAUCCAGAAGUGAUAAGCAUUUUUUUGAAACAAGAAGGAAGGAGAUUCUCCCCUGCUUCAAAUUCUGCCCGGAGCAGGAAUGCACCAGGACUCAAGCAGGUGAUGAAUAAUGUCACCUGUUCUAUUCUACAGAACCAGUAACUGCAUGGAUCUUGGGCCUCUGUGGACAACGUGGCAAAGAGGAAGGCCUGGAUGUUUAGACAUAGUGUCUUUUCAUGGCUUGAAUUAUUCUCUAACACAUAUGCUCCAUUGACUUCUCUCAAAAUAAUGAAUUCUCACCUUGACCCUUGCUCAUCAUUUUGUAUACAUUCGCAAAGACUCUUAGAGUGAGGGCAUCCAAAAUGUAAAUCUCUAGUAUUUCAGAACAAUACAAAGAUUUGUGGCUAUCUGUCUUGUAAUUGAGUGCAUUAUCUUAGCCAAAAUAGUUGCCAUUGCAUUACAGGCAAGUAAGCACACACCUCUAACACUUAAUGAAAAGUAAUUGCAGUCAUUAUUCACCACCAACAUCUUCAGUGUCAGUAAAGAUACUUUGUCCUUCAGAAAAGAAGUAGGCCAUGGUCCCAAGCAGCAAAAACUCAUUUACAUGUAACACAGUACACAUGCAGAAAUAUCAGGAACUGCUUUCUUCUAGCUCAGGAACUGAUAUUUCUGGCCCUAGUUUGAAGCAGGAAUGAGUAGUUCCAUGUUGGUUAGAUUUUGUAAGUCAGCCUAGCAUCUGUGUGCGUCACCAACAGUGACACAGUGCUCUACCCAAUGAUGAACUGGCCAACAAACACAGAUCCAAAUGCAAGUAAAGUAUGGCGUUGCCUGCAACAUGUUGCUUGUGCACUAAAUAUUAGAUGAAAAUGGAGUGUAUAAUUAAACCGUACAGAAUACAUCAUUCAAGAGACCUCUGAAGCAGUAAAAGCAGAAGAAUCAACAAUAAUAAUUUUAAUACCUUGGCUGAAUUUUUAUUCAACUUUCAAGAAAAAUGUAAAGAUUAGGUACACAGCAUUUCUUUGAAAUGUCAAAUUUCUUUAGUUUGUUAUAAUUACUAGAAUUACACUUGACAGAAGAGUUACGUGACUAUUAAAACACCACAAAUGUAGUUUUGCAAGAAUACUUCUAAAAGAACUUCUAAAAGAACUCUUAAACCUAUCAAUUUUAAAAAUCUAAGGCAGGAAAACAUUAUUCAGAUUUGAAGCUGGAUGUCCGUAAUAUACAGGGGAGAUGUAACGGUAGGGGAUACAUACAGAGAAAAAUAUAUACCAAAUGUGCUUUAAAUUCAAAGAUCUCCUUAGACUAUCAAAGUUGUGCUAGUGUCACUAGUUGUGCUAGUCAAUAUUCACAUAAUUUAAAUCUCACCUAAGUCCCUUUAGUAAGAUUAUAAGAAAGUGGGCAACUUUGAAAGCUUUUGAAGAGCUCACAUAUUACUUGUAAAACGAGAAGGGAUAAAACCAGUGAAUGUUAUAGAUGUCUUAGAUGGAACUCAAACUGUCUGAGUAAGACCUGCAGAGUAUUUCUAAAAAUCAUCCAACCAGCAACAUUUUGACCACAAAUGUCCAAAGUUUCCAGAGGAUUUUCAAACAUUAAAACCAGUAUUUCUUAAAGAUGCACAAAGACUAUUUCACACUAUUGGGAAUAAAAGAGAAUGAGGUGAGAGUUAAAAUCUGGUGGCUUUAUGAACUUCACUUCUCUAGCACAAACUUUAACCAAUUAAUCUGACAACAUUUUCUAUAAAAAUGGAAGGAGCUAAUACAAUUUUCUUCAUUUGAGUACUGUUGUUAUGUUUGGAACAAAUGCACAAUUCAUGUAAGUUCUACAUGAAAAAAUGAUCUGUUGCAAGAGUAACUGGAACUGAACAAUUACAACCAGCAUUUUGUUUAUAUAUUUAGUAAUAAAGAAGUUAUACCUAUAAAAUAUUUUUAAUAAUGUAGAAUUUCAAUUUUUAAAGAUAUUAAUAACUUAUCUGAUUUAGGGCAAAAUAAUCAUUUUAUUUUUCACAAAUACUUUAAAAAUAUAAAAUGCCUGGCAUCUGAAGCAGUUACUUGUAACAGAUUCUGGAUUAGGUUUCAUCAGUUCUGUGGAAUUUGCCAUUAUAAGCGUUGUUGAAAAGAUGCAUUAUAUGAUCUCAAUGACUGGUGAUUGACAUGUUCCAAGUAGCACAAUUUUAGCAGUUCUCUUUGAAACAGCUGUCUGCCAUGGACAAAGUCUAACAAUUUCCCAGUCAGAUACAAAUAUAGAUUACUAUUAUAUAAGUAAAUUCGUAAUUUAUUGAUCAUGUGGUGUUUUGGUCUUUUUUUUAUUAAUACAAGAUCCCAACAACAACAAAAUUCUCUUCCUUAUCAAUAUUCUUAGGAAAACUUGAAACCAGCUUGGAACAUUCUUUCUUCGCACUGCAAUCUCUACAUCUAAGAGAAAAAGGAGAAGCUGAAAAGCUGUUACUUUCCUUCCCCAAAACAGCUAAAAAGUAAGGAAGCAAAUCUUCAGAUAUGUGUUGAAGGAAAUAUGGAAUAUUGAAACCCCAAGGGUUUGAUAUUGACCACCUAUACUAAGUGAGGAACCUGAUUUUUCAGAAAGUAUCUUAAAAGCUCAUACACUGAAAUAAGCACUUUAAGUUUUUCUUCUUUUGAUUUCACACUUUGAAAAGCAAUUUACUGAUCAGUCAUAUUUCUAUUGCAUUUUCCAUCCCAAGAGAUUCAGCAUAGAUCAUAAAACAAGAACAUAUGCUGCCAAAAUAGCAUACGAUUAUGUUUUGGAAACAAACAAUUCUUCUCUAGAGUGAAAGACUGAGAUUCAAUUCGCAUUACAGUAUUUCACAAUAUUUCAGCUGCAAUUUUGUCAGCCAGAACAUGGAGGAUAUAUACCUAGUAACCAGUUUGAUUAUGCCAGCAGAUCACUAGGCACUGAUAUGUCCAUGCCAGAAGAAGCUCCAUGGUGUUUCCAUGGGCUUAGCCUCAAUCCUUCAGAAGAGUAGUGUCUAUCUGCCAGCAGAAAAGAGCUCCUUCUGUUAACCUGCAGUAAUGCUACAUGAUGCAACUAUGACUUGGCAAGGACUCACCUAAUGGAGCUUGACUCUGAGCAUGGAAAAUUCCAUUCCUGAAGAAAUUGGUUUGACCAAGUUCUGAGCUAGUAACAUUUUGAAAGUUAUGAGUGAGGAGGGGAUCAGAACAAAAGCUGGAAUUCAGCCUCUGUUUAUACUACAUAAUGUAUUUGCAUUGCAGAAAUAGGCUUCAAAGACUUACAAAUAUGCUCUUCCACUGAGUAUUCUAAGUACAUAAAUAAACAAACAAACAAACAAUAUUGACUGAUAUAGAGUAUUAUACAAUAAAAUUAUUAAUCUUACAACAGACAUAGCUAUAAUAAUAAUAAUAAAAAAAGUGAAUUUUUACCUUAUGG